AUACGAAGGGUGCAAGCGUUAAUCGGAGUUACUGGGCGUAAGGCGCGCGUAGGCGGUUUGGUUAGUUGGAUGUGAAAGCCCCGGGCUCAACCUGGGAACUGCAUCCAAUACUGCCAAGCUAGAGUACGGUAGAGGGGGGUAGAAUUCCACGUGUAGCGGUGAAAUGCGUAGAGAUGUGGAGGAAUACCAGUGGCGAAGGCGGCCCCCUGGAUCGAUACUGACGCUGAGGUGCGAAAGCGUGGGGAGC
rnacentral:rRNA from 1 species